rnacentral:rRNA from 1 species
UACGUAGGGUGCAAGCGUUGUCCGGAAUUAUUGGGCGUAAAGAGCUCGUAGGCGGUUCGUCGCGUCGGCUGUGAAAACCUGAGGCUCAACCUCAGGCCUGCAGUCGAUACGGGCGGACUUGAGUACUGCAGGGGAGACUGGAAUUCCUGGUGUAGCGGUGAAAUGCGCAGAUAUCGGGAGGAACACCGGUGGCGAAGGCGGGUCUCUGGGCAGUAACUGACGCUGAGGAGCGAAAGCGUGGGGAGCGAACAGG